UAGAAGAUUAUGUACCCAAGAAAAGAAGAUUAAAAUAAAACAAAAAUAGUUAAAUAUUUUAAAAUAGCAAUCAGGCAUUUUGUCAAACUAUAUGACAACUUAGAAUAAAAAAAGAAUAAAAACAAACUGUGACAACUUGACCAACCAAAGCAAAAAACAAUAUAUCGAUUGAUUACUAUAUUUGUAAUUUAAAUCUCCCAACUCCCAUUGCCACAGCACAUAUAAAGAGUUCCCACUUCACUUCUUUAAGCCUUAUUUGCACUUCAUCCCUUCAUUGCUUCCGUAGCUUUUCUUCCCUCUCAAAAAAUUCAACUCUCGUUCAUCCUCUUAUUCACUUUUUUUUUUUCGUUCUUUUUUCCCAGUCACUCUUUCAUUGUCAAUUCAAACAUGAAUCUUUUACUCGCCGCUGUAACUCUCCUCGUAUUCUACAUGGUGAAUUUUUUUUACUCAAACCUGUGGAUCCCAUGGAGAACAGAGCAUUAUUUCAAGGAGCAAGGGAUAUGGGGUCCUGACUACCGUCUGAUCUUGGGGAACUCAUUAGAGAUCCGUCGGCUCUACGAUGAAGCCAAGUCAGAACCAACCCCUUCAUUUGACCACCACCAUGUUAUCAUGGGACGCGUGGUUCCAUUUUAGCACAAGUGGUCUCGCACAUACGGGAAAACAUUCUUGUACUGGUUCGGUUCGAUGCCCCGAUUGGCGAUAACUGACCCGAACAUGAUUAAGGAGUGUUCCUGAACACGCACAAGGAGUAUGUGAAAGUUCCGUUCAACCCUCAGUCCAAGAUGCUUUUUGGACAAGGCCUUGUGGGCUUGGAGGGUGACCAAUGGGCCUUUCACAGAAGUAUCAUAAACCUUGCCUUUAACUUUGGAACUUGUUAAGGGAUGGGUGCCAGAUAUUGUAGCAAGUGUCACAAAGAGGCUGGAGAGAUGGGAGGACCAAAGAGGAGGAAGAAAUGAAUUUGAGAUAGAUGUGCUCAGAGAGAUUCAUGAUCUUUCUGCAGAUGUUAUAUCAAGGAUUGCUUUUGGCAGCAGUUAUGAAGAGGACAAGCAUAUUUUCAACUUGCAGGAGCAACAUUAAUGCAUCUUUACUCACAUGCAGUUAGAAGUGUCUAUAUCCCAGGAUUUAGGUUUCUUUAGCAACUGUUCUUUAGCAUUUUUUUCACUGCAAUUAUAUCCUAAAUAGAAUUUUAUUUCACAUUACAAUCUCACAGCUUCAGAGUUACUAUAACUUAUCAUAGGCAGUUAUUUUACAAAUAAACCAACAAUUUUGUCCUUCAA